AGGAAGCCCGGCAGCGCAAGGUCAAGUUCACUUUGGCCUGGGCCCCCAGCGCGGGUCACCACUCGUUAGUCCCGGAGCUGUUGGACCAGAGUGGGCCCUGCGACCAGCGAAGGUCGGUCCCCGCCCCGGUUCAGCUCAGGGGUCCCCUCCCCCCUAGUCCCCCGAGAUUCGGUGCUGCUGCGGAGCCCCGCGACGCGCAGACAGGGUGGCCACUGCAGUAGGUGUGGAUGUGUGUGACAAGAUGAAGAACCGAAUCCCUGUGGUGCUUCUGGCCUGUGGCUCCUUCAACCCCAUCACCAAUAUGCACCUGCGCUUGUUUGAAGUGGCCAGAGAUCACCUACACCAAACAGAGAGCUAAGAGUCCAUCGUGGAGAGAAGCCUGGCAGCAAGCAGCAGGCCUGGUGGAAGAGCCAAAACCUGAGAGCUCCUAUCUCCAAGUCCAGGCAGGAAGCAGAGGCAGUAAACUAGAAAUGGAUGAUGCCUCAAACACCCCUGUGUUCUAGUCUGUUU